GACGAACGCUGGCGGCGUGCUUAACACAUGCAAGUCGAACGGAGUUAAGGAGCUUGCUUCUUAACUUAGUGGCGAACGGGUGAGUAACGCGUGAGGAACCUGCCUUUCAGUGGGGGACAACAGUUGGAAACGACUGCUAAUACCGCAUAAUGUAUCCGGAGGGCAUCCUUUGGAUACCAAAGCUUUAUGUGCUGAGAGAUGGUCUCGCGUCUGAUUAGCUAGAUGGCGGGUAACGGCCCACCAUGGCGACGAUCAGUAGCCGGUCUGAGAGGAUGAACGGCCACAUUGGGACUGAGAUACGGCCCAGACUCCUACGGGAGGCAGCAGUGGGGAAUAUUGGGCAAUGGGGGAAACCCUGACCCAGCAACGCCGCGUGAAGGGAAGAAGAUCUUCGGAUUGUAAACCUUAGUCAACAGGGAAGAAGAAAGUGACGGUACCUGUGGAGGAAGCCACGGCUAACUACGUG
rnacentral:rRNA from 1 species